CUGUGACGGUGAGGAACCUUCAUGGCUAUGAGUGCCCUACUCUGGCAUCAAACCAUGGCUGUUCCCAGCUUUGUCCCUAAAAGGCUGUGAGACCUUGCGUGAGGAACCUGACUUCUCAGAGACCGUUUCCAUGGGGAUGAUGGUGUGGUUGCCACUUCACAGGAUUAUUAUAGGGCUUAGAAGAGAUCAAGUGUGGAAAGCCCAUAGUGGUGUACCUAGAACACAAAAAUAUGAUGCUGGCAUGCUAAUCGCGGGAGACAACUUGGCCCACAGACAGCCACAAAGCACAAAAACAAAACAAACUCAGAGAAGAAGAAACAAGAACGGUGUUUGCCUGGCGUCUACAAGAAGCGCUUUAUUUUUCCUCUAGAUUUCUUUUCUAAAAAAACAAAACAAAACAAAAAACAAAACUGAAACAAACAUUUAAAGAAACAGUGCGAACUUCAGGUGAUAAUAUUCAAGCAUGUUCUUUUAUUAAGCAUAGGAUGGGAGGAGUGACAGGAAGUCUAAGCAGAAAUCUCCAGCAGGAUAACGCAGAGGUCUUGAACCUCUGUGAUCCGGGUUACUUCUAGAAACUGCAAAUGAGGAAUGAAUGGAAACGACUUUUUAUCCUCUGCUCCCGCAAAUAUCCUGUAUAUUCUCAUGGACGCAAUGCUUCCUUUCUUGCCUGCCAAGGUGUCUAGGGCAUGAUUUGCAGAAUUUGUUACAAUCUCUAAAGAAUUUUGGGUGCAGCUUUGGCGAGGGAGUGGGCGGGCCAGCCCUUCUGUGACCCGCCAGCUCUGUGUAUGGCACCCAUUUCUAA